rnacentral:rRNA from 1 species
AGAGUUUGAUCCUGGCUCAGAACGAACGCUGGCGGCAGGCCUAACACAUGCAAGUCGAGCGCACUUAUUUCCUUCGGGUUAUAGGCGAGCGGCGGACGGGUUAGUAACGCGUGGGAACGUACCCUUUACUACGGAAUAGCCUUUGGAAACGAAGAGUAAUACCGUAUACGCCCUUUGGGGGAAAGAUUUAUCGGUAAAGGAUCGGCCCGCGUUAGAUUAGAUAGUUGGUGGGGUAAUGGCCUACCAAGUCUACGAUCUAUAGCUGGUUUGAGAGGAUGAUCAGCAACACUGGGACUGAGACACGGCCCAGACUCCUACGGGAGGCAGCAGUGGGGAAUCUUAGACAAUGGGCGAAAGCCUGAUCUAGCCAUGCCGCGUGAGUGAAGAAGGCCCUAGGGUCGUAAAACUCUUUCGCCAGAGAUGAUAAUGACAGUAUCUGUAAAGAAACCCCGCUAACU